rnacentral:lncRNA from 1 species
AAUAAGUUAGAUUUCUCGAACAGAACAUAAUAGUUAUAUUUAAUGCUGAGAAAGUAAGAAGAGAGCUAAGGCAGCGACAAGCGGAGGAAGUUUGGGGUGCCUGCCCUCGUCCUCGCAAUGAGAAGCCUACACCUGACAAAGCGAAUUCAGAAGCUAGCAUAGAUUGAACUACCACCCAUCAGACAUCAAAAUACAAUAAGCAUCGGAGAGCAGUGAGAGUCUCUGAUAAUAUUAAGAAGAGGUUAAUCUCCUGACUCUGGCCAUGUUACAUGAAAGUAAUUCGGAAUGAUUUUGAAGAUGUCUUGGUCGGAGGGUAGAAGGCGCAAUCAACAACUUUCUUCAAGAGGUAUGAAAUGUUUGUUUAAAGUUAUAUAUAAUAUAAAAUGUACAAACAAAACAUUUCAAAGAACUGCUUAACAGUUCUAUAUGAAAUGUUUAUUAUAAUUGUUGGCUGAUGGUUAAUUAUAUUUCAGCAUUUUAUGUUUUCUCAGUUUAAUUUAGUAUAACUUUAUGAAUAUUUUGAUUAUUUAGACUUAGGAACUGUUACUUUAGAUUCUUAAUUGCUGAAAAUUUACCAACUAAUAUAAACCUAAUAAAGUAUUAAAUCCAACUUCCAAAAAGUUUUGAAGAAUUCUUUGUUCAAAAUUAUCUGUCACUAAUGUUUCUUCAAUAGAAAAUGUAUUUUUAACCGUUUAGGAUAUCUACUAAUUUAUUUAAUCAAUUUUAAUUUAAAAGCAGUCUUAUCUGAAAGAUUGAAACUAAUAAAAUAUAGAUAUAUUUAUUUGCCUUUAUUUGAUUAUUUAAUGACAAAUCUUAUCUAAUAAAAUUAGCAAACUAAAUUUAAAUUAACACAUGUUUCAUAAUGGUAAUGAUUUUCUUUGAUCAGCAACAGCCACCAGAUUAAUGACUUUUGAAGAUUUAUUUUUCUUCUUUGGUAAAUCAUAUCUUUUAUAAGAUAGGUUUGGUGAAUCAUAUCUUAUAUAAGACAAGUUUGGUUUAAACUUAAAGAUAAUCUUACUUAGGUUUGGUUUAAUAAUAUAUUUUAAAGAGAAAAUGGUCAAACAAAAAAUGAAUUUACACAUUUUCGCCAAAAACAUGAUUGUUCGUUAAUCCAAAACAUACAAAUUUGUGCUGACCGAGCCAAUAGAUAUAAUUUUAAUUUAAUUUAACUGAAUUUUUUUAAUAGAAAUCUAAACGGCGUGUUUUACUAAAAAAACUAACAAAAUUCACGUAAAAAUAUUAAACUUAAUUACACUUUUUUGCUAGAACCAUGAAUACUUAUUUGAUCCAAAAAACUAUAAACGUUUGACUGAGACAAAUUUGAUACAAACCAAUAAGCCAAAAUCCAAACAGAACAAAAAAAAAAGAGAAUUCAUAUUUGAUCCAAGAUGUAACGAAUGAAUCUUGUAAGAUGGUAUAAAACAUUUCCAAAUAAUGUUAUCAACAUAAGCUGAAAGGGCAAACCAAGAAAUCUUAAAAUCAAAAAUCCAAUAAAAUUCAAAUCUUAAUAUUCAAUCUGAAUUAGUAUUUAAAAUAAGUAUUUAAAACGUAAAUAAAUAAUUCAAAUUUUCAUGUUUAUUUUGAUAUGAUAUCUACAGUGUAUCUAAAACUUAAAUCAAUACAUAUAUAUAUAUAUAUAUACUAAUUUUAUGUUUAUUUGAUAUGAUAUCUAAAAAUAUCCAAAAUCCGAUCCUAAAUGGGUUUUGAUAUGAAUUACAAAUUAUAUUCGAGCUGAAGUGUUAACCGAACCCGACAUAUACUAUAAUACUCAGAUGAGCCUAAGAGGCUGAACCCAAAAACUCGGAAACUUCCACUCCCAAAACCCCAACUUCUUAAGUUCAAAUCCAAAAUCUAGAGUUAUUUAACCCUACGAAUAUAUAAAUAAAUAUAUUUACUUUUCGAUAAAAAAAAAUUUUGGAGGUUUUUUUUGUAAAAAUAAACUAAAAAAAUAUCUUAGGGAAUCCCUCUAUUUCAAACUUGUAAAUUGUAAUAUGUUUUUUUUGUUUAGAUAGAUUCCGUUUAAUUGUGGAAGCCCCUUUGGUCCAGUGGUUUGACCAAGGGUUCAUUAAUGCUUCUACACUAUGAGAUCUGAGUUUCAAUUCUCGGAAAAGGCGGAAUUAUGCGAAUUAAAAGAGAAAAAUCUUACAAGAUAUCUACAACAUGACGCAAAGAAUACUGUCAAGCGUGAAUCCGAUAGAGCGGCUCAGGUGAUAUAGUCAGGCAUGAAUCCUCAUAUGGCAGGGAGAAUUGUCGACUGUAGAAUCAAUCGUCUGUAAUAUUUCUUACGGUUGUAAUAGCAUAAUUAUGUAGCGUUUAAAAAAAAAAUUGGUUUAAUUAAAAGGAAUAAUACAGAUAUUUGUUAAUUAAU